rnacentral:rRNA from 1 species
ACCAGACUCCUACGGGAGGCAGCAGUGGGGGAUAUUGCACAAUGAGGGAAACCCUGAUGCAGCGACGCCGCGUGGGCGAAGAAGUCUUUCGGUAUGUAAAGCCCUAUCAGCAGGGAAGAAGAAAUGACGGUACCUGAGUAAGAAGCACCGGCUAAAUACGUGCCAGCAGCCGCGGUAAUACGUAUGGUGCAAGCGUUAUCCGGAUUUACUGGGUGUAAAGGGAGCGCAGGCGGCACGGCAAGCCUGAUGUGAAAGCCCGCGGCCCAACCGCGGGACUGCAUUGGGAACUACCGGGCUGGAGUGCCGGAGAGGUAGGCGGAAUUCCUAGUGUAGCGGUGAAAUGCGUAGAUAUUAGGAGGAACACCAGUGGCGAAGGCGGCCUACUGGACGGUGACUGACGCUGAGGCUCGAAAGCGUGGGGAGCAAACAGGAUUAGAUACCCCUGUAC